UAGCAACACCAUCCUCAGUUUCUCAUUCCAAAAGCCCAGGAGUAAUGCAGUCUCACUAAAGAACUAAGGAUGCUCUUCUCUCCUAAUGAAGUUGUGUUUACUUCUCAGGUAGGGACAGUGAGAGAGAAUCAUGCCAUUCAAAUAGAAGUUUUAUUCUCAGCAUCCAGCACAUCAAUUCACCAUAGUAGAAGCUCGGCUGAGGAUAACAGUGAACAGGAGUUGGCUCUGUGAAGGACCUGAAAUGUGAGGAGGACAGACUGAGAGAAGAUCACCUGCAAACUCUCUGAAGCAGAUGGUGUAGUCUGUGUAGCACUAGAAUGCAGAUGUCCACUUCACAUGAUGAAGGAAGGAUACGUCUAUUGAGAAAUUGCACGCCAAGUAAAAUCCUGAGAUAAACAACUUCAUACAAGAGAAACUGACAGUUUACCAUACAUUUUUGGAAUUUAAAGAGUUGUUGUGGUGUGCUUUCUUUUUGUGCAAAUUAUGGAAUAGAUGAAAGUGACAGAGUGAUGACACCACCUAAAUGGAAGCAUAAUGUAGACGGUUAUUGCAGAUGCCUUACCACACAGCUCUGCCAGCGCACAUGCUUCCUGCAAACCUCCUGCAAUUUAAACCCUUGGGCUCCUUCAACUAAUGACGCUAAUUUGCCAAUGGAGCAAUGGCUUUCUUCGCUAAACACUCACCUACAAAGGAGU
rnacentral:lncRNA from 1 species